CUGCUGCUGAUGAGAGCCAACCAGGUCGAAACAGCUGUCCAGUAG
rnacentral:hammerhead_ribozyme from 1 species